AAUUACUGAUAUAAUUGUUAUGCCCAUUGUUUCAAUAUUUAGUACUUUGUAAGAAUUUGUUUACACGAUAUAAAAUUGCUGAAGUGAAAGUAAAAGAUUAACACACGUGACCUUUAUUUGUAAACAAUUCGCUGAAUUAUGUAUAUAACACAGGUGAAGUUAACAAAUAGAUGCAUUAUUAAGUGUGGUUUCACACAAAUCAUUGUAAUUCGUCGUAAAAUGAUAUUCAUUUUUGCAUACAAUGAAUGAAGUUGUAUUAAAUUCAAUGAUGAGUAAAUCCUCUACUUUUUCCAAUAAUUUAACGGCGGUUUAUGGUAACAGUAAUCGGAUUCGCAUCCGUAAGAGACGACUGUGGUAUAGACAUACAGUCAUUUGGAAGUCUCCUGUCCAAGAUGCAAUAAUUAUUCAGGUAUGCAAUCCAUACUUGAAAUGUUUGAAGGCCAGUGAAAAAGAAGACCUUGGAUUAGGUAUAAUCAAAACAAACGCAAAAAGAACAGAAAACAGAUUAAAAGUGCAAGGUCGUCGAUAUUUGAUUAUAGAUGUUGAGGCUUUUAUACUCAUGUUUGGUAGUUGUGACGACACGAAAAGGACGUACGUUACGCAGAAAGAAUUCGAUUUACUACAGAGUAACAGAAAAUAUGAAUGUUUGCCUAUAUAUUAAAAUCAUUACUACAGAAACACAGUCUAUCACUGCAUCGCAUGUGAUUCAACAUUUCCCAAUGUAUGGUCAUGUAUUCCCACUGUAUGGUCAUGUAUUCCCAAUGUAUGGUCAUGUAUUUGUUUCAUUCACAUGGUCACUGAUAUGAUAUCGAUGACUAAAUGAAACCUACUGGGGUUUAUUAUUAAACAGUUUAAAUAAUAUACUUUGAUAACUUUCCAAUACUUUCAAUAACACCCAUAAUAUAAUAUAAAAUAAAUAGUUCAACGUAGAUAUCGCCAUUGAAGACAGUUUAUUGAAAUAUUGGAAUUUUUUAUAUAGUUUUGUCAAAAUUCGCGUUACAGAGCACCCAGAACCAAAAAGGAUUUUCAUCUUAAAGACAACAAAAUGCUUUCGUAGAAUUUUGGUUUUGUUUGGAAUGUCCCUUUUAUUCAGUUUUGAAAUAAAUAAUAAAAAAAUGUCAAAAUUGUUUGAUUAUGCCACGCCUACGAUAGUAGAGGGCAUUAUGUUUUCUGGUCUGUGCCGUCCGUCCGACCGAAGUUUUGUAUUGUAUCGCAGAAUAAUAUAUUUCUACAAUCAUUCAAUAUUUUAAAUAUUUAGCAAGUCUGGGGCUUUCAAAAAGUUCAAAUGAGGAACUGCUAUUGGAUGCACUGAUAGAAUCUAUAUUUAUAAAAUGAUUUUUUCAACAAUUUCCUUUCAAUAAUGACACGUAAAACUAAUUUAUCUAUUAUUUAUUUAUUUAAAUAGUUAAUUUGCACCCAACACGCAGUAGUUAGAUAAAUUAAAUCCACGUCCUGUUUCAGAAUUCUUUUUACUUGUGUAAAAUUGUGCACCAUAUUUAAUAACUGUAAUUGAUAGUACAUCCAGAUACAAUUUAAAGGUGAAGAUGAUCAAUCAUAAUCUUAUUAUUUGCACACGAAUUUUGAGAAAUGAAUGCAACAGGUUGACAAAGGUUAUUGUACUAUGAAAUCUAUGUCGUUUAAAGUCCAUCAAAUUAAUCGCCGUGUUUUUGAAAAAUAUACAACCUUGUUCAUGUGACAAUGACAUUAAACGUAAAUAAUAAAGUACCGUUGCAUGUUAUUUUAUAUUUUAUGAGACAUACAGAAAUCUAAAUGAAACUUUAUUCAAAUUCGAUUCAAUGCAAAUAGAUUGAUUGAUUGUUGGUGUUUAACGCCAUUUGAAACACACUUUUUUUUGUGUAGAUGCAUCCGGAGUAGAAUAAGAGAGCCACUGACCUUCGGUAGGAAAACUGGCAAUCCAUGCACGUUGCACCUUGCCACGAGCUGGGUUUGAACUCACAACCUCAGUGUUGACGUGCUAGUGAUCACUACAAAUGAAGUCUAUUAGACCACACGGCCACCGAAGCCCCAUGUUAUUUGACAAAAAACUGUUUUGUAAUAUAGUCAAGUUGUGAAUGAAUUAAUCAGUGACGACUAAAAAGAUGAAACGACACGAAGAGUCACUGACAAGUACUCAAAUCUUUUCAUAUUCUUCAGUGGAAGAAACAAAUAUUAAACCAUUAAAACAUACUGAUAUUAGUUAAGAAUUUUUAUAUCGGAAUACAUCUUAUCAAUAUCACGAUAAAGGAUUCUCAUAGCUAAUAAAAGCCAGUUUUAAUUAAAUAUAUUUUACAAAUCAUUUUACAGUCUUAUAUAAACCUCGGUACUUCUAAAAAGGUUUUUAUAUAACAGCAACACACAUAAUGGUAGAAAAAUACCAUGCCUUGUAAAACUCCUAAAAUAUCCCGCAUAACUUAUAAUUGCAUUAGCCAUAAUUUAGUGGUCAUCC